rnacentral:rRNA from 1 species
CACGUAGGGCGCAAGCGUUGUCCGGAAUUAUUGGGCGUAAAGAGCGCGUAGGCGGUUUGUUGCGUCGGCUGUGAAAUCCCGAGGCUCAACCUCGGGUCUGCAGUCGAUACGAGCAAACUAGAGUGUUGCAGGGGAGACUGGAAUUCCUGGUGUAGCGGUGAAAUGCGCAGAUAUCAGGAGGAACACCGGUGGCGAAGGCGGGUCUCUGGGCAACAACUGACGCUGAGGAGCGAAAGCGUGGGGAGCGAACAGG